AAUAUUUCACAAUGGGCGAAAGCCUGAUGCAGCAACGCCGCGUGAGUGAUGAAGGCCNNNGGGUCNUCAAGCUCUUUGAUCCGNGAUNGUAGUGACAUUCUCUGAAAAACAAGCCACGCCUAACUACUUGCCAGCAACCGCGGGAAUACGGAGGCGGCGAGCGUUUUCCGGAAUUACUGGGCGUAAAGGAUGCGUAGGUGGAUACUUAAGUGGGAUGGGAAAUCCCCGGGCUCAACCCGGGAACUGCAUUCCAAACUGGGUAGCUAGAGUGCAGGAGAGGAAAGCGGAAUUCCUAGUGUAGCGGUGAAAUGCGUAGAUAUUAGGAGGAACACCAGUGGCGAAGGCGGCUUUCUGGACUGUAACUGACACUGAGGCAUGAAAGCGUGGGUAGCAAACAGG
rnacentral:rRNA from 1 species